rnacentral:misc_RNA from 1 species
UUUCCGUAGGUGAACCUGCGGAAGGAUCAUCCAUAAUAAAGUGUUUUAUGGCACUUUUUAAAAAUCCAUAUCCACCUUGUGUGCAAUGUUAGAUCUCGUCAAUCUUGGCGAGAUUUUUAUACAUCAACUCAUUCUUUAACUAAUUUGUCUGAAAAAUAUUAUGAAUACUUAAUUCAAAAUACAACUUUCAACAACGGAUCUCUUGGCUCUC